ACUAAAUUAUCCGCUGGGACACAUCCGCCCGACGUUGAUACUUUCCCUUUUGCGUAGGUAGCCGGGGCCGCCCGUACUGAGGUACCUGGAGGCAGCUUUAGCCCGCUUCCGCCCUUACUGAGGCCCCAGUACGCGACCGAGGCAGGCAUGACGUCACUGCAGGUCGCCAUUUUGCAUUACCUAUCAAACUUUUUUUCCCUCCAAAAAAGGCGAUGUGCGGUAAUGCGAGGGAAAAAAAUCCUUGUCUCUUUAGGAUUGUAUUCCAUAAAUAUCCCUUUUCAGCGUCUGGAGGCUCUUUUUUCCUUUUUGCCGGGUAUGAGUCUAGUGACCAGAGCAGGUCCCGGCUGAAUCCAGACUUUCUUCAAGGUAGCUAGUUUCUUAACGAAGUUGGGGAGGCAUAGUUGGUGUUGUGAGAUUUAAACCCUUCGCCUUUCUGUUCACUCACACGCACAUCAGCUCUCCUGGAUUAUUUUUUUUUUAUAAUCUCUAUUUACUAAGAGUUACACAAUAAAGCUAUAAUUCUCCACACCUCUUGUCCAGGUUCAUGUCCUUUUAUACUUGAAUACAUAUACACACACAUAAAAUGACAUACUACUUCCGGCCUUGCCCUCUUAUUUUUGUCUCCCCCCCCCCCCCCCGUUUAUAUAUGAUGUUAACUAACACCACGAUUUGGAAAGGAUUGGAGCACAGAACUCACAACUGGGCCAGUUAGAUGACAGCUGUCGUCCCAGUCAGCUACAGAAUGAGGACUAUUCCUCAUGAGGACUCAUCCUCCAUGAGGAUGGAAAGCAAUCCAGUGCACGACAGACUGCCACCACACUGGGAGACAACUCAAAGCACAUAACCUAAUAGUGGCGUUAGUAAAAUCGCAUUAUGGAGAUUGUCACCCCUCACAAAUUCUUGAUAAUUAUCAAUGCCGCAGGGCAGGGCUUUAAUGAUACAAAUUUUCAACCACCUAAUUUAGACCAAGUAUGUGAAGAAGGGUAAGGUGAAACCUCAGGUUUACUACUGAGCAGGUGGUAAGACACAGCAGUUGGAUCUAGAAGACCACUCUGUCAUGUCCCUGGAUAAGCAAUUUAAUCUCUGUGCCUAUGUCCUUCUCUGUGAAAAUAACAGUACCUACCUCAUAGAGUUCCUGCUACGAAUGAGUGUGAAUGAAUCCUUAAAAAGAGUAGAUUCUGGUUCUAAUACUUGUGGUGAAGAUAGGACGGUCAGGGCAUUUUCAGCAAUUGGUGAGAGCAGGGGAAAAAAGUAAUAUUCAGGAAGCUAACACACACGGACAUAUUUUGUCAUAUGGGAUACAUUCAUUAGUGCCACACCACAGAUUGAGAGAUCUUGGACGUCCACCCAACAGACUAGCCGAGCCCAAAACUUAAGUGGGCAUCAUUUCAUUGACUAUACAAAUCCCACCAGGUAACGAGCACAGUUCCCCAGCCGUACACAGAGGACAGCCACACCGUUGGGUGUUGGGCGCUUUGUCACAACUUUUUCAGUGCUUAAAGGUUUUUAAUUCUCAAAAAGGAAUCUUGGAGGUGAUCUAGUCCAAUCCCUUUACUUAAUGGCUGAAGCUUCUUAGUCAACACCGGUUGGCGGUAAAGCCAAGGCGAAAGUCCAGGUUUCCUGACCACAUUCUGCUCAGCACUACAAUUGUCCUGCUUCGCUACUCAGUUCUGUUUAUGGCUUCCACCACUGCAAGCCUACAUAUAUGGAUAGGAUAAUAGAUACAUGUAUGUACACACAUUGCCAGUUGGAAUUACAACCGAGCCCAGUGAUGCUCAGGCAGGAGUGUAGGCCCUUUCAAGAGGGCAUGCUUCCAUUUCUUUGACAGGGAGCUUCGUGGUUUUAUUAACACAUGACUGAAACCUUGCUGUCACAGACUUAGGCAUCACAGUCCCCUUGACAGGAUCUGUAUGUAGAAACUCUCAUAAACCAAGAUUUCACUUGAAUUAUCAAAGCUGUGCCCUUUUACACUAGGGGACACACACACAGAGCCUCAUCACACAGCAUUCACUCUUCACAGACACACACUCUAGUGUAAAUCCUUAGUACUGUCCUUGAACAUCUCCCCAGAUAGCUUCUUCCCAUGCUCGCUCACAUCAGUAGCUCCACUGCCUCUGAUCCUUUUACACGAAUUUAUUUCUAUACAAGGUUCUAAAAACACCCCUUGGUUUGUACAUAAGUUUUUUUUUUUCUUCAUUUUAAAUUGCUUUAUAACAACUGAUUUCCUGAUUUUUUUUCAUUUUGUCUUUUCUCUGAAAUCUGCCAUGAUUUAAAAACAAACAAAAAGGGCAAAAGGAAAUAAAAAUGCCGUUGGCCAGAAGACAGGGUGGAGAAAAACAAAAAAGACAAAAAUAAACAUCAAAUAUGAAAAUUCUGAGAGAUAAUGCAUUUAUAAACACAGAAAUGGUUACAACAAAGAUGGCCGUGAUGAGUGGGUAUAUAUAUAUAUUUAUAUAUAUAUUUAUAUAUAAAUCCGUGUCCGGCAAUUGACCGUGGCACCUAGGGAGCUAAGUCCAGUCCUUGUGUUUGCCCUGAACUCUCCCUUCUCUGCAACACCCUUUGUUUUGGGCUUUCAUAAAGAACACAAAGCUCCCACAGCUCCUCUGGCUUUGGGACUGGGAGACCGAGUAUAGGGCCUUGGCUGGCAGAGAAGGGGAGAGGCCCCAAGGAAAACCAUAACCCACACUUCUAAGCCACCCUUGACCAUUUUGGGGAUCUCUGGCCCCUUGGGGACCACAUCUCAGCCCUUGCCCCUUUACAAAUAAAGGGGGUCUGACCCCCACUGAGAUCUCCCUCUUCCAGCAUUAGGUAGGAAGUGAAGUGAGACCAUGAGGGGAAGACAGCUCCCGCUCAUCGGGGCGUGUGAGAAACCUCCGUUCUUUUGCAGGCAAGAAUAGAACAGGAGGCUGGCUGCAUUUAGGGCUCCCUUCUCUCAGAGAUCUGGGAGGACCAGCCUCUAGUCUUCCACCAGCCCCAACUUUUGAGGAUUAUGAGGGUAACGAGAGGGUAAGUGCCCACACUGGAAACGUUUCUAUGAGGUCAUAGCAAAUCCCUCCCUUGAGCACCAACCCCCAAUUUUGAAAAGCUAUGCUUAGAAGGGGAGGCUGCUGGAUUACACUACCAGCUCCUUAUUCCUUUGCCAAUCAGGAGGGCUGAUAUUCCUUUUGAAGAGGAGUUGAGAAUAAGCAUGGUAUCCUGUGUAGGAAGGCCGUGCCUGAGGCCCAAGGAGAUGGAGGCAAGGCCUGUCAAGGAAGAAGACUUUUCCCACCAAGAGAAGUUGGAGAAAGAAGGGACCAGAACUUCUUUCCCCUCUUCCCAGUGGGUGGCAGCACAGGUCUCUACGAGCUGGCCAGGUGCUCCACCUGGAUGGUGCUGGUGGUGACAGUGAGGCAGAUGUCCUUAUGAUGCUCCGCCGUCUUAUAGGGGGUCAGGUCAAAGGAACACUGGGGUGGAGGGUUGGGGUUGCUGUCCCCACCACCCCCACCCUGGGGGGCUGCCCCAGGGGACUGGAAGUGUGGUGGCUGUGGCUGCUGUUGCUGCUGCUGCUGCUGCGAUGC
rnacentral:lncRNA from 1 species